UGACCAACGCAGGGAGAGGAUACAGACAGAGAGAACUGGAUUCCAAGGACGGGCACCUGAGACAGUCAACUCAAUAGCUUGGGAAGAACAUGAACAAGCAAAGAACACCAAGAACACCAAGAAGGAGCAACCAGGGAGAAAACUCAAGGAAGUCUGAACAAAUGGUUUCCCAAAAUCAAGGUCACAUUUUCCAGCCUUCCUGGCAACAUGGUAUAGUCAUGUAACAGAGUUCUGAUGACGGGGAGGAGGAAAUUUGGACACACAAAGAGACACCAGGGAUGUGCACGCAGAGCAGAGUGACCACGUGAGAACACAGAGACAAGCCGGCCAUCUGCAAGCCAAGCGGAGAGACCUCAGGAGAGACCAAACCUGCCACCACCACACUGUGGAA